rnacentral:lncRNA from 1 species
UCCGACCACCCUACUGCCUCCUCUCCGUCACUACUCCAACCACCCUCCCCAAGCACACAUCCCCACAACCUUCUUCCUCACCUCCUCACGUCCACCCUCCAGCCCGCAUCACACGAACAGCUCGUCCAUGAACGACCAGCAUCGACCUUCAACCACCCCAAACACCAAACGACGCUCUUCUUCAGCGUCUUCCAUGGCUGCUCAUCGAUGUCCAACGCCAACAACAACCGUUCUUCUUCGUCCAAAUGACCACCACCCCACUACCAUCUUCAUUCUUCACCUUCAACGUCCAACGCCACCAACAGAACCAACA